CCCCGCACGGGGCCCCCACGGCCCUUCUGCCCGACCCCGCGCGCCCUCGGGGAGGGGGAGCCGGAGCGGCCGUCUAAGCGCAGGAGCAGGGCCGGCGGAAUCCGUGCGGCCCCUCGGGGCUCCGCCAGCCGCCGGCCCUCUCUUUACACAGAUGGGGUCCAGAUAAAGAAAGAAAACUACAGCAAGAUGGAUUUAAAGGUGAUUCUAGAAGCAAUUCCCAAAUUUGGAGCAGUGGGAGGAAGAGGGUCAGGCUAGCAAGUAUGGAGCCUAUACAUCUGGCAAACCAGGCCCCCAGGCCCAACAACAGGAAGAGGAGGCCCAUCAGCAGCCCCAGGACCCAGAGUAGCUUCUGGAACAGACUCAGGCGGUGCAAGGCUGGAAUACAAGGCCAUGUGGGAAGCCCAGGCCAGCCCCAGCUGCCAGCCACGAGGAUGCAGCCACCACCCUCCGCCAUCUAGCUUCAGCUCAGCAACUGGACCACGGCAGCCACACGCGGCGAGACCACCGAAGACCUGCCCAGCUCCGCUCAGCCCGAGUUGCUGACCCCCAGAAUUGUGAGCAAUACAACGGCUGUUGCUUGAAGCUCCAUAUUUUGGAGUGGCUUGUUAUUGCAGCCACGGCUGGCUGAUACUGCGCAGGGAUGGAGCAGGGACCCAGGCACUCCGGGUGCACUCUCUCUCCAUACUCCUCACAGGGCGAGGGGGCUGAUAUUUUACACAUGAGGAAAGCCAGGCAGGGAUAUACAAGGUCACACAAGCAGUCAGCGGGAGUUCUCCAACCCAG